rnacentral:ncRNA from 1 species
ACAAAAACAUUGAUGUGACAGAGUAAAAAUCUUUGCGACAAUAGAGAUAUGGUGGCUGGUGCAAACCAUACGAUGGAAGAUUUUGAAUUCACCACGGAGUUAUUACUUUGAUAAGGAGUAAUCGGAAUCAUAACGUUACUAUGAAUGGUUUUUAACUAACUAAGGUUAUUUCUGUGAAGAAAUAAUAAACUGAGGUGGUACCGCGAUAACUCGCCCUCUAU